UCACCCCUCAAGCCCCGCGCUUGGUGUUGGAUGGCCGGUUGAGCGAUCGACCCCUCCUAAAGACAAUGACGGCGGCCUGUGGUUCCCCCGGUACACUGAGCUUUUCAUCGAGCACGUAUCGGACAAGGGCACCCGGGACCCGGUCCUCUCCUUUAACUAGGAAACUUCUAA
rnacentral:misc_RNA from 1 species